CCCUGAAAACCGGUCUCAGUUCGGAUCGCAGUCUGCAACUCGACUGCGUGAAGGUGGAGUCGCUAGUAAUCGCGGAUCAGCAACGCCGCGGUGAAUGCGUUCCCGGGCCUUGUACACACCGCCCGUCAAGUCAUGAAAGUGGGCAGCACCCGAAGACGGUGGCCUAACCCUUGUGGGGGGAGCCGUCUAAGGUGAGGCUCGUGAUUGGGACUAAGUCGUAACAAGGUAAC
rnacentral:rRNA from 1 species